AGUGAACGCUGGCGGUAGACCUAACACAUGCAAGUCGAACGGCAGCACAGUAAGAGCUUGCUCUUACGGGUGGCGAGUGGCGGACGGGUGGGGAAUACAUCGGAAUCUACUUUUUCGUGGGGGAUAACGUAGGGAAACUUACGCUAAUACCGCAUACGACCUACGGGUGAAAGCAGGGGAUCUUCGGACCUUGCGCGAUUGAAUGAGCCGAUGUCGGAUUAGCUAGUUGGCGGGGUAAAGGCCCACCAAGGCGACGAUCCGUAGCUGGUCUGAGAGGAUGAUCAGCCACACUGGAACUGAGACACGGUCCAGACUCCUACGGGAGGCAGCAGUGGGGAAUAUUGGACAAAGGGCGCAAGCCUGAUCCAGCCAUACCGCGUGGGUGAAGAAGGCCUUCGGGUUGUAAAGCCCUUUUGUUGGGAAAGAAAAGCAGCAGGUUAAUACCCCGCUGUUCUGACGGUACCCAAAGAAUAAGCACCGGCUAACUUCGUG
rnacentral:rRNA from 1 species